rnacentral:rRNA from 1 species
AGUGGGGAAUCUUGCGCAAUGGGCGAAAGCCUGACGCAGCCAUGCCGCGUGAAUGAUGAAGGUCUUAGGAUUGUAAAAUUCUUUUACCAGGGACGAUAAUGACGGUACCUGGAGAAAAAGCUCCGGCUAACUUCGUGCCAGCAGCCGCGGUAAUACGAAGGGGGCUAGCGUUGCUCGGAAUUACUGGGCGUAAAGGGAGCGUAGGCGGGUUGUCAAGUUGGAGGUGAAAGCCCAGGGCUCAACCUUGGAAUAGCCUUCAAAACUGACAGCCUGGAGUAUGGAAGAGGUAAGUGGAACUCCGAGUGUAGAGGUGAAAUUCGUAGAUAUUCGGAAGAACACCAGUGGCGAAGGCGACUUACUGGUCCAUGACUGACGCUGAGGCUCGAAAGCGUGGGGAGCAAA